rnacentral:tRNA from 1 species
AGAAAGAUAAGCUAACUAAGCUACUGGGUUCAUACCCCAUUUAUAGGAGUUUAACCUCCUUCUCUCUA